CUGUGUUUUAUGCUUGUUAUCGAUCGCGAAAUCUGUGUUUUGGCUAUACUUAAAAUAGGUACUGUUUGAAAAUAUUAUUUACUGAUGAUGCUGUGCUUCAUGUUUUUAAAAAUCAAGUAAGAUGUCUAUUAGCCUUCACUGCUUGUGUCAUUUAACUAAUUGUCAUGAAUAUUCUAUGAAAUUGAUUGGACAUUUGAAUAAUAUUUGGGAUUCUAUCUGAAUUAAAAUGAAUGAAUUAAUAUUAAUGUUGGAAAUUAAACUGUACCUGCAGUUUAAUUUGCAUAUUGCUCAGUGUUUCAUAACCUGUGGUUGCUUGAUGUAUUGGGGACUGUAGGAAACUGAGAGGACGUGAAGUCCUCUUUUCAGUUUGAUGCUGGAGAACAUAUUUAAUUCCUAUUCUUUUAUAUUGACUUUUAAUGAUAUAUAUUUUAUAUUCAUUGUAUACUUGGCAUUGUUUACUCUUUUACACACUCUCAACAAAGAUAAGAGACUGAUGUUGUACUGAUGGUGUAAAGCCGAGACAUGUGCUUAUGUGUUUCCUGCCUUUUACUCUUUAAUUUGAGAUGUGCUGAGGAGUCAGAUGCUCUUGUAUUUUUAUAAAUGGUGUCAUUUCGUGACCUCAACUAACUGAUAUCACUGACCAAAUUCGGUCUGAACUUGGUUACACUGACCUGCGUCUUCAAGCAUAUUUUCACACAAUCUGUUUAUAUUGUAACUCAUAAUUGAAUGAAAAUGUCAAGUGUAUUCUUGAAUCUUUUAUGAGCUCGGAAAAUACAUUUCCUUUAGAAUCUGCUCAAAUCGAGGACGACAGCUUGACAUUUAAAAUAAUUUCCUCUAUUGUCAAUCUCUUAUCUGGAUAUCAGGUUUAGACGCAUCCUAACAGUGCCUACGCAGGUCACACCCUUGAUUACAGGGUCAGAGAUGUUUUUAGGAGUUGCUAAACCCAUCAUUGUCUACGGAUAACUCAAUUUCGAUGUUCAGGACAGUUUGUUUGUCAUCGAUACGGACAAGAGACUGGUUGUCUGACAAGGCGAUUAACUGGGAAUCCCUGAAUGCCUGUUGCAAUCUCACCACACUGCGGACAUUUGAGACGGAGCCCCAAUUGGGCUUCGAAAAGUCACACCAUCUUUUAAUGAGUCGAUCAUUAGAGUGAAGGACUUUGGGUCAGUUGGCUGGUAAAGCAUAAAGAGAUAACUUACACUUUUAAAAUAAAGCUUCCAAAAGAGAUGCAAUAGAGGAACCUUUUUUGGUUCCCCAAACAGACUUUCAAAAAGUAUCAUCAUUUCUUUGUGUAAAGAUGAUUUAAAUUAUGUAAAUAACACUUUUCCACUGUAAAGUAACUUUUUAUGUACCCAGCAAGCAUUUUUUUUGUUUUUAAAGAUAAUAGAUGUCUAAUAGACGUCUAAACAUAGUUGUCUUGGCUAAAACAAGGCUAAAUUUGGGCUGUCACUGAAAAUCUAAUAGAGGUUUAAGAAUAGGCCAAAACUAGACUAGUCAUCAAAUAAACAGUAAUGAAUGGCUACACAUAUAAAGUCUGUCUAAUCUGUCUAUUUGACGACUAGUCUAGUUUUGGUCUAUUCUUAUGUCUAUUAGAUUUUCACUGACAGCCCAAGUUUAGCCCUGUUUUAGCCAAGCUGGCUAGAUUUAGAUGUCUAUUAAUCCCAAAAUUUUUGCUGGGUAGUGGAAAUGUUAAAAGUUCAUCACAGAAUCACACCCUAAUGGUAUUGAUGAUAAUACAGAAGCUUUAUUUUUAAGUCCAGACAUUGACAAACAGACAGUGACAGAUUGUUUGGUGGGAAAAAGACAGAAUAAUUGACAUCUAAGUGGACUGUGUGCAUUAAAUAAAAUAAAGUGAAAAUUGAAAGCUCUUUAAUUAAUAAUUCACCCAAAAAAUUCACAACAAUUGUCAUCAAUUACUCUCCCUCCUUGUUCCAAACCUUCUGCUCAACACAAAAGAUGAAAGUCAAAAAAAAAAAAGAUUACCAUUAUCUGUCUUGUUACCAAGAUGUUACUUCUUUUGUGUUGUACAGAAAUAAAUUCUUACAGAUUUGUAAAUGAUAGAAUGUACAUUUUUGGGGAAACUGUUCCUUUAAGCUAUAAAUGCACAUAAUAGCAGCACUUUUACAGAAUUGUACAUUAUUUUAAUGUCUAAUGGUUGAUUUCCGAGGAAGAUCUAUUAGAGGAACUCAUAACAUCUGAUUCCAGGAAAGCUUUUAAAAGCAACGUGGGUUUGGUUGACGGAUGUACUUAACCCAGGUCAUCAUUUAGUUACAUUUCAAAUAGAAAAUAUAAGAUCAGUUUUUUCUUUGCCUGUUUUGUACAGUUAAAAGUUUUCAAAUAUCAAGUUUGUCAGUUAAUUCUGCAUCAAUAAAAAUUAAAAUAUAUCUUAAAUACCAUUUUAUGUAAUUGUAUUUGUGACUCACCUUCUUCAGUGUGAGUUUUCAGAUGAAAUCAUGUUCCAAGAACGAAACGUUUCCACUGCAGUGGUGUUAGAGUCAGGACUGUAGCAGACGUUUUUUCUUUGCAAAUGACUUUUCUGUGAGUCAAUUAGCCUGAGUUGUUAAUUGUCACACCAAAGCUUACAGUAAAUCCUAAACUCAUAUGCGGUGAGAUGACUAUUUGUAUGAAUUAAUAUAUAACACUUCCAGUGCUAAAAAAGUUAUAUAUACAUUGAUCAAAUUAGUAGUCUGCAUUCAGAUAAAAUCUCAGAAACUCAUAAAUCUGCACUCAGAAACAAUUGACAUCCAUCACUGCUGUUAUCUUUAUUUAGGUAUGUGCUUCUCCGUCUGUUCUAAUGUAUUAAUAAGGGCUUUCUUUGAACCUUACAUGCUUCCUGUAAACCGCUGUAUACGUGCGUGUGUGUGUGCGUGU